AUUAAUUUGAGAGUUUGAUCCUGGCUCAGGACGAACGCUGGCGGCGUGCCUAAUACAUGCAAGUCGAACGAACUCUGGUAUUGAUUGGUGCUUGCAUCAUGAUUUACAUUUGAGUGAGUGGCGAAC
rnacentral:rRNA from 1 species